GAUGAACGCUGGCGGCAUGCCUAAUACAUGCAAGUCGAGCGAACAGACGAGGACCUUGCUCCUCUGACGUUAGCGGCGGACGGGUGAGUAACACGUGGAUAACCUACCUAUAAGACUGGGAUAACUUCGGGAAACCGGAGCUAAUACCGGAUAAUAUAUUGAACCGCAUGGUUCAAUAGUGAAAGACGGUUUUGCUGUCACUUAUAGAUGGAUCCGCGCCGCAUUAGCUAGUUGGUAAGGUAACGGCUUACCAAGGCAACGAUGCGUAGCCGACCUGAGAGGGUGAUCGGCCACACUGGAACUGAGACACGGUCCAGACUCCUACGGGAGGCAGCAGUAGGGAAUCUUCCGCAAUGGGCGAAAGCCUGACGGAGCAACGCCGCGUGAGUGAUGAAGGUCUUCGGAUCGUAAAACUCUGUUAUUAGGGAAGAACAAAUGUGUAAGUAACUAUGCACGUCUUGACGGUACCUAAUCAGAAAGCCACGGCUAACUACGUG
rnacentral:rRNA from 1 species